UGGCAUGGAGAUAUAAAUACAGAAAAUUUAU
rnacentral:piRNA from 1 species